UACGUAGGUGGCAAGCGUUGUCCGGAAUUAUUGGGCGUAAAGCGCGCGCAGGCGGUCCUUUAAGUCUGAUGUGAAAGCCCACGGCUCAACCGUGGAGGGUCAUUGGAAACUGGGGGACUUGAGUGCAGGAGAGAAGAGUGGAAUUCCACGUGUAGCGGUGAAAUGCGUAGAUAUCAGGAGGAACACCGGUGGCGAAGGCGGCUUUCUGGACAGUAACUGACGCUGAGGCGCGAAAGCUAGGGGAGCAAACAGG
rnacentral:rRNA from 1 species